GCUGCUUUGGCGUAAUUGGCAGGCGCACAAGAUUUAAGCUCUUGUGGUUUUAAAACCGUGUGGGUUCAAGUCCCACAAGCAGUA
rnacentral:tRNA from 3 species